GAAGGGGCUGACCCUGGACCGGGCACGGGAGGU
rnacentral:scRNA from 1 species